AAAGUUAUCAAUUUAAAACUUACCAAUGAAAGUCGUAUUUCCCCCUUUCUUUACCCUACAAUAAACUUUCCUCGGAUCCGUGGAUUGCGGAAUAUCGUCCACAUCUAAAACGUUCACGUAAAUUAAUGACGUCAUGUGUUAAAACAGUUAUUGGCCAAUCAAAUCGGUAUAUAGAAUUUAAUCUGCACGCGCUCAGGAUGACCCUUUAACCCGAACUCCUACGUCGUUCGGGUUAAUAAGGGUCACCUGAGCUGUGCAGAUUAAAUU
rnacentral:lncRNA from 1 species